GCAUUAAUAGCUCAGUAUCCAGAGCGCCGGUCUUGUAAACCGGACGUCGGAGGUUAAAAUCCUCCUUAGUGCU
rnacentral:tRNA from 1 species